UGUAUUAAUUUUGAGUUUAUGUUUUUUAUUUCAGCAUGGGCUUGUAAAAUAACUAUCUUCUUAAAUAUGUACAAACUUAAAAAGUAAAGCAUUCAAUAACACAUUUCAUUUCAGUUAUGGUCAUGGCUCCCAUUUUCCCCAUAAUGCCGUUCCACAGGCUCUUGCAUUUUUGUUUUAAUGUGGAAGACUAAUAGAAAAUAGCAUCUCUUCACUAUAGCUCCCAAUAAUAGCAGUGAUUAUUAAUCCUGGGUCUUUCAAAAUUCUGUAGAACAGUGGUAAAGUGACAUAAUAUUAGGUUAUUAUUCCUGAAAUAUAAAUAUAACCAUUACCAAAUGUGUAUUUACCUCCUAAAGACCCGAAUCCUUAAUAUUGCAUGCCAAAGCUGUUCUUUGAGCCUGUGACGCAGUCAUGAUCAAAAGUACAGCGCUCACAGAUCUCAAAGUCAUUUUUCCUUCAAGCCUGCUGCAAUCAUGGAUGAAGUGACCUUGAAGGUUAAUGAUUGCAUUUCUAUUUCAGGGAACCAGGUUAUUACAUAACCUCACAUUCCCUUUAAAGUACAAAAUGUAACCAUUACGGAAUGGGUGAGUGUACCAAAGCAUUCAUACGGAAUGGGUGAGUGUACCAAAGCAUUCAUAUGGGCAGAACAACCGGAAUGCUUCAAGGCUAAGCCAAAAGGCUGCCUUGUGCGUAAAUAUUCGAAACUCCAGUAACAAGUAGCUAGGGUGAAAAAAUUGACAGAGAAUUUCACCUCUGUGUCUGUGUUGUAAGGAUCGACUGAGAAGCAGCAGUUAAAACCAUGGUGAAGGUACGGGAAGGUACGGGGAGUAGCCCACACUGCUGCACUGACAGAUGCACCCUGGAAUAAAGCCCAGGAAGUUGGAAGGCUCCUGGUGGAAUAGGCAGUGAGGCAUAAAAUAGUUUGGACUGCCUCCAGCUUUUCAUCCUGUCAACAUAACACGCCAGGUCCUGAACUGGGCACAGUGUAUGGAGCUGUCGCUCCCUGUCAGACUGGAACGAGGUGGAUGGAAAGCCUCCAGUUCUACAGACUGGUUGACAUGGAAUGCUGAGAUGUCUUUGGCAAAAAGGCAGGAUUGGUGCGGAGUGUGUCCUGGUCACUGUAACAAUUAAGCAGGCUUUCGUAAUACAGAAUGCUUGCAUCUCACUCACCCACUUUGCAGAGGUGACAAAAAGCAAGAAAGCCGCUUUAACCCUUUACUGCCAGAGCAAUUUAAAAUCAGUAGUAUAUGAUUGAUGACCUUUCAUAUCAUAUCUUGGCCAUCCAAUCACCAAUCUUGCUUUUUCUUUUGCGUGGACCAUAGCCAUGACUAGGGGUCAUGUCUCCAUAUAAUUGGUUUAGGGCUAGGAUGGGUGGAACAUAUAAUAUUAUAAUUAUGAGGAUGUGUCACAGACACUGCCAUUUUAGCUGAGUUUACUGCAGAUUCAUAAAGACAUUCAUCCAUUUCAAACGUCUGUGUUUAGGUCCAAGAGUGCUGAUCUACUCAUUGAAAGCUAAGUACUUGGACUAACUAGCCGUCUUGUUAAAGUGUUAAACUUUUUUUUUGUGUGUGUGUGCAUGCAGGGCAGGACUAACUUUGGAUAGAUAGGGAGAAGACUAACUAUUGUACCAGCAUCUGAUCUUUUUUUUUUCUUUUUUUUUUUAAUUAUAUAAGUUCCUUUUAUAACAAUAUUUUUUCCUCUGGAGGUGGACGGAGAGAAAACCAAACACCUGCAUCUGACCCCUAACUAGCUCACAGACCAGGAGAUAAAUUGAAACAAAAAACAGUUUCAGCAUCUGAUGCAGUCCCUGAAGAGGAGGGCCCUGAAGGAGGAGAUUGGGAUCCUCUUAAUAAAGGACCAUGAGGGCAUGGACACCAUUGAGGAGGACCUCCUUGAUGAGGUUCUGCUGCUGCUUCUGGAGGAUGAGGAUGAGCUGGAGGAACCCCAGCCCAGCAAUUCAACUGCAGGACACUGCUGGAAUUAAAUUAACCAUCCAAGCCCGGAUAGAGGGAGGAUAAAUCAAGCCUCCCCUGAUGAAGCAGCUCAACAGAAACUCAGCUCCUCCACCAUCUUGUAGUCACGUGACUCCUGCUGCAUCUAAAUAAGGACG